UGUGUGUUUAUGUGUGUGCGUGUGCCGCCACGUACAAUGGGUUGACAGCGAGGGGUGUGUGCUGUUGCCGGCUAGCACGCACACCUCGCUGUGAGUGGCUGAGACAGGCAUCGAUCCGUUGGGGUUAUGCAACGGGGUGUCCGGAAUAUUGAAUUUCAGGCAUGACAGUUGGCUGUCAAUAAUGUUGACAUUCGGCUACAACCUACCAGGGUGUCAUGGAAACAGGGCUGGGGCAGUUAAGGAAGCCACAUCAGCAGGGAGAGAGAAGAUUCCGGUUUUCUUAGAGGCCAUGAAGGCGGAGGAAGAGAGGAAGCAUGUGUUACAGACAGAGGACACUAAAAAGACCCAACAGGAUGGUGUCAAAUUCUAGUCUGGUCACGGAUCCCAUCCCAGGGCCCUUCUCACCCAGACUGACUCCCGACGCCAGCCGCCGAAUACAGUCACUCCCCCAGAAGUAACCAAACACCUGGCUGCAAAGUAGAGCUUUCUCUGGUCGUAACAAUGCUGUGUUUACCAGUAGCCAAAGAUUUACACGGUGACCCAGAGUGACCCAGAGAGACCAGCAGUCUGUCGCCGCUCACCCAGCUAUUCUCCUCG